rnacentral:rRNA from 1 species
GCAGCCGCGGUAAUUCCAGCUCCAAUAGCGUAUAUUAAAGUUGUUGCAGUUAAAAAGCUCGUAGUUGAAUUUCGGGAUCAGUUGAUCGGUCGUGCCUCGGUACGUACUGGUCAAAUUGAUUCCUACCUUCUGACGAACCACGAUGUCAUUAAUUUGGUGUCGCGGGAAAUCAGGACUGUUACUUUGAAAAAAUUAGAGUGUUUAAAGCAGGCUCGCGCUUGAAUACAUUAGCAUGGAAUAAUGAAAUAGGACGUUUGAUUCUAUUUUGUUGGUUUCUAGGAUUGACGUAAUGAUUAAUAGGGAUAGUUGGGGGCAUUAGUAUUCAAUUGUCAGAGGUGAAAUUCUUGGAUUUAUUGAAGACUAACUACUGCGAAAGCAUUUGCCAAGGAUGUUUUCAUUAAUCAAGAACGAAAGUUAGGGGAUCGAAGACGAUCAGAUACCGUCGUAGUCUUAACCAUAAACUAUGCCGACUAGGGAUCGGAUGAUGUUAAUUUUUUAAUGACUCAUUCGGCGCCUUACGGG